AUUGAACGCUGGCGGCAGGCCUAACACAUGCAAGUCGAGCGGAUGAAGGGAGCUUGCUCCUGGAUUCAGCGGCGGACGGGUGAGUAAUGCCUAGGAAUCUGCCUGGUAGUGGGGGAUAACGUCCGGAAACGGGCGCUAAUACCGCAUACGUCCCGAGGGAGAAAGUGGGGGAUCUUCGGACCUCACGCUAUCAGAUGAGCCUAGGUCGGAUUAGCUAGUUGGUGGGGUAAAGGCCUACCAAGGCGACGAUCCGUAACUGGUCUGAGAGGAUGAUCAGUCACACUGGAACUGAGACACGGUCCAGACUCCUACGGGAGGCAGCAGUGGGGAAUAUUGGACAAUGGGCGAAAGCCUGAUCCAGCCAUGCCGCGUGUGUGAAGAAGGUCUUCGGAUUGUAAAGCACUUUAAGUUGGGAGGAAGGGCAGUAAGUCAAUACCUUGCUGUUUUGACGUUACCAACAGAAUAAGCACCGGCUAACUUCGUG
rnacentral:rRNA from 1 species